UACGUAGGGUGCAAGCGUUAAUCGGAAUUACUGGGCGUAAAGCGUGCGCAGGCGGUUUUGUAAGUCUGUCGUGAAAGCCCCGGGCUCAACCUGGGAAUUGCGAUGGAGACUGCAAGGCUUGAAUCUGGCAGAGGGGGGGUAGAAUUCCACGUGUAGCAGUGAAAUGCGUAGAGAUGUGGAGGAAUACCGAUGGCGAAGGCAGCCCCCUGGGCCAAUACUGACGCUCAUGCACGAAAGCGUGGGGAGCAAACAGG
rnacentral:rRNA from 1 species